GACGAACGCUGGCGGCGUGCUUAACACAUGCAAGUCGAACGGAAAGGCCCCUUUGGGGGUACUCGAGUGGCGAACGGGUGAGUAACACGUGAGUAACCUGCCCUUGACUUCGGGAUAAAUUCAGGAAACUGGGGCUAAUACCGGAUAGGAAUCCUUGCUGCAUGGUGGGGGUUGGAAAGCUUCGGCGGUUUUGGAUGGACUCGCGGCUUAUCAGCUUGUUGGUGGGGUAGUGGCUUACCAAGGCUUUGACGGGUAGCCGGCCUGAGAGGGCGACCGGCCACAUUGGGACUGAGAUACGGCCCAGACUCCUACGGGAGGCAGCAGUGGGGAAUAUUGCACAAUGGGCGGAAGCCUGAUGCAGCAACGCCGCGUGCGGGAUGACGGCCUUCGGGUUGUAAACCGCUUUCAGCAGGGGCGAAGCUUGUGGUGACGGUACCUGCAGAAGAAGCACCGGCUAACUACGUG
rnacentral:rRNA from 1 species